AUUGAACGCUGGCGGCAGGCCUAACACAAGCAAGUCGAGCGAGCGGCGGACGGGUGAGUAAUGUAUCGGCAUCUGCCCGCUAGAGGGGGUUCACUACUGGAAACGGUGGCUAAUACCGCAUACUAUCGGAUGAACCCAGAUGGGAUGAGCUAGUAGGUGGGGUAACGGCUCACCUAGGCGACGAUCUCUAGCUGGUCUGAGAGGAUGAUCAUCCACUCUGCGACUGAGACACGGCCCAGACUCCUACGGGAGGCAGCAGUGGGGAAUAUUGCACAAUGGGCGCAAGCCUGAUGCAGCCAUGCCGCGUGUAUGAAGAAGGCGUUAGGGUUGUAAAGUACUUUCAGCGGGGAGGCGUUACCCGCAGAAGAAGCGGCUGCUAACUACGUGCCAGCCGCCGCGGUAAUUC
rnacentral:rRNA from 1 species